UCUGCCAAACGAAAUAGAAGAACUUCUCCUCCUCAUUUCUAUCGAUCAAUUAUGGCUCUGUAGCGCUAAACCGAAGACUUCCUCCACUACCAAUGCUCUACAAUAAAAGUGAUUGAAGCUGCAAACAUAGGCUCAGUGUCUCACUAGGAGAUUGUCAUAUAGCUGUAUUUUUUACUUUAAGCUAAACUUGAAUGAAGAUUAAGGAGCAAGAUGGAGAGUUUGAUCUCAUGUGAUAAGG